ensembl:lncRNA
GCGCCUCUGUCUUCAUAUCCAGCCGACCCUCCUCACGUGUCCUGGGCUCUCUCUCUCGCUCCCUCUCUCUCUCUCACAUGACCGAGUGUUUGUUCCCGUGAUCACGACUUCCAUCCCCGUCGAGGAACCGAAUAUCACUUUCUCCUCCAACCCUGAUGGAUAUACAGGAACACAGUCUGGACACCGAAAGCAGCCAAUCAAAACAAGAAGAAGAGGAGGGUGUGGGCAUAUCUGGAGUGGGAGAGGAGCAGACGGCUGCGUUUGUCGACCACAACAUCCAGUACCAGUUCCGCCCCGAAGGCUCGCAGGUAGUUAGUUAUCUUUUUAUAUGACUAUCAAUAUAAAGAAACACAUGUUUGUGUGUAGUUUGAUUAUGUCCUUGAGGAAGAGUUGUCAGUCGAACUCCUCUGUGUCAACGCACAUCAUGUAGUUUUAACAUGUAUAGUCACUAUAGUGGGUAUCGGCUAUGGUGUUGACAUUUAC